AUUGAACGCUGGCGGCAUGCCUAACACAUGCAAGUCGAACGGCAGCACAGCAGUAGCAAUACUGUGGGUGGCGAGUGGCGGACGGGUGAGGAAUACGUCGGAAUCUGCCCAGUCGUGGGGGACAACUAGCCGAAAGGUUAGCUAAUACCGCAUACGACCGAGAGGUGAAAGCGGGGGACCGCAAGGCCUCGCGCGAUUGGAUGAGCCGACGUCGGAUUAGCUAGUUGGUGGGGUAAAGGCCUACCAAGGCGACGAUCCGUAGCUGGUCUGAGAGGAUGAUCAGCCACACUGGAACUGAGACACGGUCCAGACUCCUACGGGAGGCAGCAGUGGGGAAUAUUGGACAAUGGGCGCAAGCCUGAUCCAGCAAUGCCGCGUGUGUGAAGAAGGCCUGGUUGUAA
rnacentral:rRNA from 1 species